AGGACGAACGCUGGCGGCGUGCUUAACACAUGCAAGUCGAGCGGAAAGGCCCUUCGGGGUACUCGAGCGGCGAACGGGUGAGUAACACGUGAGUAAUCUGCCCCUAGCUCUGGGAUAGCUCCGGGAAACCGGGAUUAAUACUGGAUACGACCACCUUAGACAUCUUUUGUGGUGGAAAGAAUUUCGGCUAGGGAUGAGCUCGCGGCCUAUCAGCUUGUUGGUGGGGUAACGGCCUACCAAGGCGACGACGGGUAGCCGGCCUGAGAGGGCGACCGGCCACACUGGGACUGAGACACGGCCCAGACUCCUACGGGAGGCAGCAGUGGGAAUAUUGCGCAAUGGGCGAAAGCCUGACGCAGCGACGCCGCGUGGGGGAUGAAGGCCUUCGGGUUGUAAACCCUUUCAGCAGGGACGAAGCGAAAGUGACGGUACCUGCAGAAGAAGACGCCGGCUAACUACGUGCCAGCAGCCGC
rnacentral:rRNA from 1 species